AAAAAAGAAAGUAGAGUAUUCGACUACUCUCCUCAUCCUUCUCUAUCCACCUUCUCUGUCUCCGUCGAGACAGUAAGAAGGUAAACAGAAAAGGAACUAUUAUUCGUCCGGGCGUUCACGAGGGGAGGAGGGGAAGAGUGGAGAGAGGAGAGCAAAAAAGCGCGUCCAAGUUUUUUACGAGGCAGGCCGAGGCGAGGUCCUGAGCGGCGACGUCACGUUGCGUUGACGAAAGGUGUGGAGGGGGUCGGCCGAAUUGGGCCGAGCGAGGCUCGCGUUUGCAAUCGAGUUACGAAAAUAAAGGGGAGGGAGGGGAAGGUGGAAGGGGAAGGAUACAGGUCGGCGCGAUACCGAGUCACGCGUGUGCACGCAUGUGCGGGUUUCGACGGAUGUUUCGACAAGCAAGCGUGGAAAAAAAGCGAAACUCGAUCACGGUCGAAUCGGGCCAAGGAUAAAGUCGAUAUCCUCGCUUUCCACGCUCGCUCGCUCGCUCAUUUCGUUCGUUCAAAUUUUAAAGAUUAUUAUCGUUAGCGGAGCGAUCGAUAUUUUCGUUGGCCGGAUGACGGAAACGGAGAAGGUGGUUAGAGAAGGAUGAGGAGAGUGGGCGAAACGAAGUAGACGAUAUUUAAUGUUUGGAGGGGGGGGCGCGAGGACGAUGCCUCAGCCUUUUUCCACGCGGAUCGCUCGCCGGAACGGAAUCAAGAAAUCAAGAAAUUACUCCCCUUCAGGAACAGUACUAUACUAAAUAAUAAUAAAAAUAUGAAUCAAGAAAUCAAGAAAUUACUCCUCUUCAGAAACAUUAUAAUACUAAUUUCAAGCAGUUGAUCCAACGAAACAAAACAGUAUCUUCGAGUAUCCUUUUCCUUUCUAUUAUUAAAAUGAUUUCGUAUCGUACUUUAAUUAAUGAAAAUAAUUUAAAUUAAAAAAUGU